AUGGGAUAUAACUUCUACCAUGCUAAAGAACAAGAGUUGUUCGGCAUUCCUUUCAGAAAAAGAGUAUCUUGAUGAAAGUACUAAUGCCUUUAAUGUGAAACUUAUAAAGUUUGACAGGUAGAAAAACUAACAUAAUUUAGUGAAUCCAUAGAACCAGAUUUGAUUAGAUCAAACCCAGAACCCAUUGUAAAGGCACCAUGAAGG
rnacentral:lncRNA from 1 species